AGUGAACGCUGGCGCCGUGCUUAACACAUGCAAGUCGAACGAGAACGGAUUAUAGCUUGCUAUAAUUGUCAGCUAAGUGGCGCACGGGUGAGUAAUGUAUAGGUAAUAUGCCUCUUACUAAGGGAUAACAAAUGGAAACGUUUGCUAAUACCUUAUACUCCUUAUUAACAGAAGUUAAUAAGGGAAAGAUUUAUUGGUAAGAGAUUAGCCUGUAUUGUAUCAGUUAGUUGGUGGGGUAAUGGCUUACCAAGACUAUGACACAUAACUGGUUUGAGAGGAUGAUCAGACACACUGGAACUGAGACACGGUCCAGACUCCUACGAGAGGCAGCAGUGGGGAAUAUUGCACAAUGGACGAAAGUCUGAUGCAGCAACGCCGCGUGGAGGAUGACACAUUUCGGUGCGUAAACUCCUUUUAUAUGAGAAGAUAAUGACGGUAUUAUAUGAAUAAGCACCGGCUAACUCCGUGCCAGCCGCCGCAGUAA
rnacentral:rRNA from 1 species